rnacentral:rRNA from 1 species
GUGAACGAUGAAGGCUUUCGGGUCGUAAAGUUCUGUUGUUAGGGAAGAACAAGUACCAGAGUAACUGCUGGUACCUUGACGGUACCUAACCAGAAAGCCACGGCUAACUACGUGCCAGCAGCCGCGGUAAUACGUAGGUGGCAAGCGUUGUCCGGAAUUAUUGGGCGUAAAGCGCUCGCAGGCGGUUUCUUAAGUCUGAUGUGAAAGCCCACGGCUCAACCGUGGAGGGUCAUUGGAAACUGGGGAACUUGAGUGCAGAAGAGGAGAGUGGAAUUCCACGUGUAGCGGUGAAAUGCGUAGAGAUGUGGAGGAACACCAGUGGCGAAGGCGACUCUCUGGUCUGUAACUGACGCUGAGGAGCGAAAGCGUGGGGAGCGAACAGGAUUA